AUUGAACGCUGGCGGCAGGCCUAACACAUGCAAGUAGAACGAGUGGCGGACGGGUGAGUAAUGUCUGGGAAACUGCCUGAUGGAGGGGGAUAACUACUGGAAAAGGUAGAUAAUACAGCAAACAAUCGGCUGUGCCCAGAUGGGAUUAGCUAGGCGGUGGGGGAAAGGCUCACCUAGGCGCCGAAGCCUUGCUGGUCUUAGAGGAUGACCAGCGAAACUGGAACUUAGACAGUGUCCAGACUCCUACGAGGGGCAGCAGUUGGUAAUAUGGCAUAAUUGGCUAGAGCCUGAUGCAGUCAUACCAAGUGUAUGAAGAAGGACUUCGGGUUGUAGAGUACUUUCAGCGGGGAGGCGUUGCCCGCAGAUGAAGCACCGGCUAACUCCGUUCCAGCAGCCGCGAUAAUUC
rnacentral:rRNA from 1 species